rnacentral:rRNA from 1 species
CCCAACUACAUAGACAUUUCUCUCGCACAUACGGGAGCUUGCUCCUCUCUGUUAGCGGCCGACGGCUGAAUAAACGCGGGUAACCUGCCUGCCGACUGGGAUACUCCCGGACACCGGACCUAAUCCCGGAUAGUUCCUUGAACCGCAUGGCUCAAGGAUGAAUUACGGUUUCGGCUGUCUUUUCACAUGGACCCGCGCCGCAUUAGCUUGUUGGUGAGGUACGGCUCACCUGGCGACGAUGCGUAGCCGACCUGACAGGGUGAUCGGACACACUGGGAUUGAGACACGGCCCAGACUCCUACGGGAGGCAGCAGCAGGGAAUCUUCCGCUUUGGACGAGAGUCAGACGGAGACACGCCGCGUGAGUGAUGAAGGUUUUCGGAUUCAAAUCUCUGUUGUCUAGGGAAGAACAAGUGCAAGAGUAACUGCUUGCACCUUGGCGGCUUCUAACCAACAAGCCACGGCUAACUACGUGCCCCCAGCCGCGGUAAUACGUAGGUGGCAAGCGUUGUCCGGAAUUAUUGGGCGUAAAGGGCUCGCAGGCGGUUUCUUAAGUCUGAUGUGAAAGCCCCCGGCUCAACCGGGGAGGGUCAUUGGAAACUGGGAAACUUGAGUGCACAAGAGGAGAGUGGAAUUCCACGUGUAGCGGUGAAAUGCGUAGAGAUGCGGAGGAAACACCAGUGGAGAACGCGACUCUCUGGUCUGUAACUGACGCUGAUGAGCGAAAGCGUGGGGAGCGAACAGGAUUACAUACCCUGGUAGUCCCCCCCGUAGACGAUGAGUGCUAACUGUUACGGGGGAUUCCGCCCCUUAUUGCUGCAGCUAACGCAUUAAGCACUCCGUCCUGAGGGAGUACGGUCUGCAAGACUGAAACUCAAAGGGAUUGAACUGGCGGCCCGCUAGAAGCGGUGGGACGCAUGUGGUUUUAUUACGACGCACGUGAAUAACCAUAUACCAGGUUAUAGAACCUCAUCAGACCACCAUAGACAUUAGCGGCUUCUCUCCUUCAGAGAACAUGAGUGACCAGUGGUAUGAAAUG